UAAACAGCACUGAAAAAUGGCAGGAGGAUAACGUUUACUUUUGAAUCCCUGGCCCGCUGCCAGGCUGGCGCUGGUUUUUAGGUUAGCAGAGGUUGGAGGAAGGGCCAGACUGAGGCGGGGCUUGCUGCUGUCAAGGGGAAAAAAAAAAGGGGGGGGCCUGCAAAUUGCUGUUCUCAGCUUUUUUUCUCUCCUCUCUUCCACCCCCGCCCUCCCCCGAAAAAAGUCAGUGCUUUCUCUUAGGCUCUUAAAAAUGAUGCAGAAUUUUAACCAUCUGCUGUACCCGGAGCUCUUCGCUGGUGCUGCGCAGCUGAAUUUUUGCAAAGGGAAGAAAUUGCAAAGCUUUCCGAAAUAGAAAACCGUUUGUAAGCAUGUAAAAUAUUUUAGGGAAUCCUGUCUUUAAAGAAAGAUUCUAUUUAAUUGUGGACUCAGAAGUGGGUAUUAACAGAACUGAAACGUUUUUAGCCUAUUGUGGAUUUUUUGCUACAAGAGACACAGGUGUACUGCUACAUCACAGCUCUGCAAACAUAGCGUGAGCAAUCGGAGGCUUGGGAAGUGUACAGUGAUGGGAGCUGAUCAUUUUUGUAAAGCUGUGAUUUUUUAUUUUGAGACUCGCUCUGGAAGUGUAGAUGUAGCGGAAUGCAGCAGAGGCAUCCCUUUACCAGCUGCGUGUGUAUAUAUGAGAGUAAAAUUAUUUAAUGAGCAAUAUGGGGACUGGCAAAGGAACCAUGUAACUGCCACGGCCUCCUGAACUAUCAUAGUAUGUCUGGUGCACAAAGGGAGAUUAUUUCUAAAUAAUAAGGGAUGGGGAAAAGGCUUUUGAAGUGGUGAAGCUUAAAGGAGAAAGUAGAAGGAGUCUUUAAUGUGGAAUCCUUACUUCCCAUAAAUUAGAUUAACUGUUUAAAUGCCAUGAACAGCAAAUUAAAUAUUUCAGAUGUUCAUAAAUCAGAAUAUAAUGUUUGUCCGGAGUAAGAGCUAAGAAAAUUGGAGGUUAUUGGCUCAUAAUUCAUCUGCGUAUUUAAGAUCAAUUAGCAAGUUGUAGGAAAAAGAGAUUCCAGUGAAAUAUUUGAGGCAUGCAGUUCCUUUGAAAAUGCAGUUGGGAUUUUCUCUUUCAAGAUCUGUCAAUACCAGAUUGUUACCUCAAGUCACUAGUUAUUGUUUGUAACUGUAAGGACUGUAUUUUCUUUAAAUGAACCUCUACAAAUAAAUACUAAGAAGGGCAUUUACUUUCUGAAGCCAAUGUAGAGGCCUGGCUAAGUCUCUUCAUUAAAUUUUAAUUUAUUUAAAAAGGCUAUGUUACAAUGGAGAUGUCUCGUAAUCUACAUACAUUUUCUUAUUUUUAAAGCUGAAGACUGGGGCUGUAUUUUGUCACCUGUUGCCUACACAGGACAAAAGGGACCGGGAGAGGGGGGCGGGGGGGGGGGGGUGGGGCGGGAAGAAGAUUUACUGAUCGUGCAAGCUUUUGCAGGGAACUUAUUCAUCAUUUCAUUACCGAUUGGUAAAAACUAGCCGCUUUUUUCCCUCUGCUUUUAGGUGCCCCAGAAAAUUGUACAAUAUGUGUGCUUCAGACAGUGCCAGAGAAGCAUAAUGAGGUGUUUAGUCACAGUUUGGAUGUGGUAUUGGUAGAAAACAGUGCAGGAACUGUGGGCUGGAUUUUCAAGGGAAUAGUCCUUGUAAUCCAAGGCUGCCUAAAUCCCAAACUGGUAUCCAGGCAAUAGCGGCACUAAAUUCUCUGUUUGCUUUUUGUUAGGCUGUUGUCUGCUGAACAUUUUCCUUUUCUUGCAAGGACUGCUGUAUGGCUGGGCAUUUUGGUGGUAGGGUUUGUUGGUUUGGUUUAGGGUUUUGUUUUGUUUCUUCUGUUAACCCUUGGAUUUCUGUUCGCUCCCUUUAUUGCAGAGCAUCUCCGUAAAUAGGAAUGCAGACAGUCUGGAGGCCAGGCUUGGAAAGUAUUUAAUGGUCAGUGGAAAAAAAUGAGGAAGAGGAGGGUGUGGCUGCCACUGGGAGGCUCUGGCCCUGCAAAGGGUCCCUGGCUUGUGGAGAUGUGGUCCUUCAUCGGAAAAAAACGAAGACUUCUUUUAGGUCCAGCUCUGGCCCUUGGAAGGGCAUCGCUCACUGUGGAGCUGCUGCAGCACGCCUGAGGUCUGAGCCCGUGGAUUCAGCGUGGAGAGCCUUCAUCUCCAGCAGCCAGGUGGAGCAGACCGCUGGGAAAAGGGACUUCGGUGUGUGAUGGCAAGAUUCACCACCACUGUGUAUCGGUCUGGAUGUAGUCAACCUGUCAGGAGUGUGAAAUUUACAGCAGAAAUUAUUUUAACACUGGAAAAGCUCUUACUCAUCUGAAUCGUCAUUCAAAAUGCAUGAUGAAGGUCACCAAGCAAAAGUUUUCCAUCCCAUUGUCUGCAGGACUCCUGCAGGUCUUCUGAAACUUAAGCAUGUCUGUCUCAGGCUGCCGCUAAAAAGAAGAAGCAGUAAUCUGGCAAAAUGAACUCAGAACACAAAAAGAGGAGCCACUGGAGACUAAUCUGCAAGGUGUUCAGGUGUUGCUGUUGAGCAGAAAUUGGAAGCAAACUGUGGGGGUCAAUAGAUUAAGAAAAUAGUCCUGCUCAUCAUCACAGGAAACCAUAAACCUCAGCACUGUGGGACAGGAGUGACCAGCAGUGACCAGCUUUACUGCCUUAGGAGCAUCCCCAUUAGCUGUAUUUCUCAGAUAAGUUUCACUGAUAAACAUGCAAAUCAGAAUCUGUUAACCAUUGGCUGCUCCAGAUAUGGCAUGAAAACCAACAAAGGAGACUUGAUGUAGUAUGGCUCAAAACCAGAAGUAUUUUGAAGCAGAAAGAAUGACUUACUGGGGAACCAAGUUAGAAAAUGAAAGAAGUGAAGAUUGGUCAUCUCUGCAGAGGAAAUGACAAGAAGAAACUGUUGAUAUGUCUUCCUGACAGGUCUUUCUCAGAAGAAACAGCUGCAAAAUGUGGAAUCAGUUGUGUGAAAUUACUGCUGGCAAGGCCUUUGACCUUCGACUGCUGCUGGAUCCAGAUGAGUGAUCAAAGAGAGUACUUUUGCAGGAAAAUAUUGAAAUACUGUCCAGUGUGUUUGCUACCAAUGCUGUGGGAUAGAAAAGCAGGUACUUCUACAUGGCUCUUACUUUUUGUGUUGAUAAGGGGAAGGGAAUCAAUUAUUUCAGUUGCACCAAGUCUGCUUGCUGUAUUUCUGAGUUGACACUAGUAAUGUGCAUGUUUCUGUCUUCAGAGAAGGUGUAAUCUGCUCCUGGCAGGGCAGAUCUUAAAUUCUGAAAUCUGUCAUCCCUGAGCAGGCACAGAACAAUAGCUUACAUGAUAGCUAAGAUAGAAUUUAGUAGUUUUUAAAUAGGAGCUAAGAGGAACCAUAAGGCAGAUGAAUUUGGAGCUAAGAGGUUAUGUAUUUUUCAUAUGUGGGGAAUUGGAAUGGAGCUGUGCACAGGACAUGAAGAAAUUGAUUCUAAAGACCACCUACAAGAUUUUAGGUUUCAGCUUGUUACUCUUCAGAGAAAAUGUGUUGCAUAUUUUGACUCCCAAGAGGCUUCACAAUCAGAAAAUGUAAUACUGAGCUGUGUUUUUAAUACCAACUGACAAGGUACUCUUUCCCUGUGCUUUUCCUGGUUGCUCCUCGUAACAGUUCUCUUGUGACUUCCAUUUAUGUAAAAUUAGGGCCUGUAGCAACAGCAUCAUGAAUAAUGGACACAGAGAGUAGAACACACCGUGGAGCUCUGGCAAAGAUCUGCUCGCUCGCUACCACUGCUUCAGCCCAAUCAUGGAUGUUUAACCAGUGAAAGCUUUAGUCUCAGGUACAAAAACUUACACUAGAAUCCACCUGUGGAGAGCCCUGGUCACCUGAGAAAAGAGAAGGUUGUGUGGAGCUGAGCACAGGCAGUGCUGUGUGUCUGAGCCCCAAGCCCCGAGCCUGGAAUUCAGGUGGAAUUCUCUUGUUGCAGCGAGUGCCAUGCUCCAAAAGCCUUCUCCCCCUCAGCACACAGGCACAGCUGGGCAGAAGGGCCCUUGUGGUGAAAAUGGCAAUUUUCAGUGGUUCCCCCCUUGCUGUUUAAAGACUUGUGUAAAGCUGGGCUGGGUAAGGGUGUGCAUAAGCCUCUUGGCAGUGUUGUUGGAGUGCUCUGGAUGGAAAAUAACUGGUCAGAGCAGAGGCAAAGUCAUCGUGACAAAGCACAAGUGUAUGCUUCUGAAAUCAUAACACAAGUUGAGACGGGAUCCCAUCCCAGGGUGAUAACAAAGCUGUUAUAGUGCACAGGGGUCUGUGCUGGUGACCAAAGAAAAACAGUCACUAAAAGGAAACAGGGAACUCUGUAACUGGCAGUGUCAUUAACGGCAAAUUCCUGGAGGUCCCCUGAUAGGGACACAAAAAUGCCUAACAGGGUCAGUAACAAUACUUGCUCUUGCAAAUGGGCUUGUCUGAUCAGGUCUAUAUCCUCACACCCUCCCCGAGCCCCAAAAGUAACCAGAAACAAACUGCAGCCUGGGUUUGCAGUGCCUGUACAAAUGCUUUCUCCGUGUUAAUGCAUGUGGACUUCCGGGCCUCUGCUGGCUGACUGUCAGGUUGAACCAAGCCCACUGGCUCAACCCCAGACCCCAGAACAUUGUUCUGCAAUGGAAAUUAAUUUUAAGCUUCUAACAAUAUUUUAAAACAAAGAUACCACACAGAACAGUGAUUUCAUGCCAGUUUUCCAUAUAAUGUUAUUCACAAUUUCAAAAGCUGCAGGCUCUAAAGUGAUCAUCACAAAUGGAACAGUUUGUAAAGGAUGGAUUUUGCUUGUCUGCCAUCAUAUAAAGCUCCUUCUUCAUUAGCACUCAAGUAACUUUAUCAUGUUUGUGAUGAUGGCAAAUGUAAGGGUGCAUUGAUGUAAAUACAGAAUUUUAGGCUAAAUCCAUGUGACACUAGGUUAUUCGGAGCUUUGACCUACUCCUGGCUCCCAGACCACUAAUUCACCCACUCCUACUUGUCAGCUGCUUGAUCUCACUAAGGGCUAAAAUUUAAAAUGAAAGCCUUAUGGGAGAAAGGCCAGAAGCCAUUUUUCUACCAACUAUAAUUAUUGGCACGGCUGCAUUCUGCAAAAUGAAUUUUAGUUUCUUGUUGAGGCUUACCCUGACAGAUAUUCCCUCUUGGUGCUUAAUUAAGUUAGGACUUGCACAUACUAGUUUAUUGCAUGUCUUUUUAAAGAAAAACAAUUUCAGAGUGAAAAUCCAGUUUUCCCAAAAAGGAAUUAGUGGAUUGAGAUUGGGAAAGGCAUUUUUAAAGAAGAUGUGGCUCUAUUUAAUUUUCCCUAGCUUAUAUAAGGAACUGAAAAAAAUAGCACUUUCUCAGUGAUGUCACGUAGGUUAGGUGUGACACUGUAUGAAUUGCACAUAUUAAAAAGCCAAAUCCAGUUGACUUAAAAUUCAGAUGGCUUCAGAAAUUAAGAUUCUCUGUGUAGUAAAGGCAUUUUCCAUCCAAAAAGAAUUUAAAAUAUCACUCAAUUCCUUGUGAGAUGGCUGAGUAUUUAGCUGGAGAGACUGGAAGACUGUGAUCCUGACUGUGCUCUGCAUCAUUGAUUGUGCUCAGCUUUCAUUUUCACAGGGCUUGAGGGGAAGUGGGAAAGGUGCAGUUUUGGAGAGCUGGACAUCACAUAUCAAGUCAAAGAUGAGGGUGUUCAGUUUAAGAGUCCAGUUUUGUGUUCAGAGAUGUUAAAGCAAAUCCAGGUGAUAACCUGAGUUAGGUAAGCUCAGGUCUUUCAAAUAUAAGGUCCAUUGUUCAACAUCCUAAAACUAGUGAAUCUUUGUGGGGGUUGUCAUUAACAUUUCAUUUUUGUGUGAGUUGCAUGAAUACAAUCCUCCCAGGAGCGUGGAGAUAACUGAGGAAUGUUUAGGAAAUACUGUAAGAGAGGCAUUCUAUGCCCCUUUUACUGUCUCUAUGUUCCAAGAGAAAAUAAACCUGACACAUUCUCUUUCCUCUUUUCCUAAUAAAAAGUGAUCCCUAAUUUGUCACUGCUUCAUCUCCUCUUGCUGGGACCAUCUCCAAGGUAAUCCAGCCCUUGCACUUCUGCUUUUACACAUGAUAAGAUAGCAAGAGUACCUGUAACAUUUGUUUUUCCUAAGAUGUACCUCACCUGAUGGAUUUGCCAUUUCCACACAGGUUUCACCUCCCCUGGACUCUGGACUUGCCCUGAUUUCUGGGCUUUAGGAUCUGGUGGUGGUCAUCUCUGCCAUGGAGAGCUCAGGGAUACAGUGGGGGCAAGCACAGCAGCUUGGCUGGGAAGUCAGGAGAUGGAAAGAUUGUGCCAGGAGAACAGGAGAUUGAUCUGUCUCCACAUUAGUGAUGCCGAAAGCCAGGGCAGAUGGCUUCCAUCCCCCUGCAGUGUGACCAGCUGCCCUCAGGGUGAGAUUUGCCGAGUGAAACAACUCUCUUGAUCCAUGUGGGGCUGAUGGAUGCAGCAUUUAUUGUGUUCUUUAAUUAACUAGCAAAAGGUUAGUUCACUGAUUAAGGUAGGGUGUUUGUUUUAAAAGUUUGCUUAUUUAUUAAAGUAGUGUUUAUAUUAGAAUACAGACUGAUAUCUCAGUUAUUCCCACUUCUUUAGAUCUGCCCUGAAUGGGAAGUGUUGCUGUUCAUCAAACCAGGUGGCAGCGAAUAACAAGCCCCUCAAAUUCGAGUAUAAGUUUGAGGUUACAGAAGCUAAUGCUGUAGUGGCAUUUCUGCCAAUCCCCCUAACCGAGGUCUGUCUGGUACAGUGGCAUGUGUUUAAUUUGGUCAUCAGUUCAGGGCUGGGUUACUACUCAGUUAGGAGUGUUGCUGAGUAGGCCACAAUUCCUCACAGUCUUGACAAAAUCAUUGCUCAGUCUUUGGGGUUUACCUGUGUGGAACCUGGGAAAUUCACUUAGAGAACCUCAGCUCUUCCCCAUUAGGAUAAUGGGGGAGUAUCUGGAAGCAUGUUAAACAAUCCCUCUAAGUUAGCAUCCAUUCUAAGUCAUAGUGAUGCCUUUCCUGAAGUGACAAACUGGUUUGAUAAGGUACAGUCAUGUAGGAGCUGGAAGUACACAAGUGCAGUUAUUAAAAAUGAAUGCUGUAUCCUGUUUCCCUUGUGUAUCUUGUCACUGACGUGACUUCACAAGUUGCAAAUCUAUUAAACAUUUCAAACAUGAAACUGGAGCUCAUUAAGCAGAAUGUUGACUGGUAUAUAGCAAACUGUUUCAAAUUCAAGACUAUUAACAUUUGUCUCCCAAGUUUUUUGUCUUCUAGGUUGUCAUCAAGCAAUCCAGCUGCCUGGGAAUACAGCCUGUGCUUCCUGUGAUCAGAGUGUGACUGUCCUUUGGGGUGAGGUAGUAGGUUGUAUAGUUUUAGGGCUAUGCCCUGCCUGUCAGAUAACUAUACAAUCUACUGUCUUUCCUGAAGUGGCUGUGAUGUCAGCGCUGGAUGUCUCUGAAAGACAACGCAGAUAUUUUUCAACUGUACCAUUCUCUGGCUCUGUCUGCAUGUUUGGUUCUUGUACACAAAUGUCCUUGGAGUGUUUAGAUUCCUGUAUUUCCCAUUCAGGCUCAAAAGCCAUUUCCUUCUGGCAUUUUCUGAGAGCAGGUGGGGUGUGAGUGCCAGGACACAGAGGUACAACCCAGUCCGCAAUGGAUUUCCUCACGCGCAGCUGUCUGGGACUGCCAUGGGAGUGGCCACUUGGAAACAGCUGAUCCAUUUCUCCACUGUUUUCUGGCAUUUGUCUUCAUGUUAAACAUCAAAUGGCACUUUUGAUUCAGCAGCUGUCUAAAUCCACUUGGUGUAGGCUGUUUGAGAAACUACAAAGGGAUGAGCUGGACAAAGCCCAAAGAGGAUGUCUUCCAGUCAGUCGUGUUUUGCCCUGGAACUGGUAAAUGCUUGAACCCUAAGUAAGAGGUCUCUUUAAUCAGUUUUGGAUGCUGAUCUAACUUACUUUUUUAUUACAUAUUGCUAGUUUGGGAGGGACAGUGUUUGCCACUGCAGUUCUCCUGUCUCUGAAGUCCCUCCACCAGUUCUGUCUGACUCCCAGGUAGGGCUGUGGGGAAGGGCUGAGAGGUCACACAUGGCCUUUCUAAGGCUAAGAAAUGUGUGGGCUGGAGAGUGAUAAGGUAAUUUACUUACAAAUGGUGAAAUGUUUCCUUCAGAAGAUGCACGUGAUGCUCUAACAGGAUGAGGUAGUAGGUUGUGUGGUUUCAGGGUAGUGAUUUUGCCCCAAUCAGGAGAUAACUAUACAACCUACUGCCUUCCCUGAUAGGCAGCAUAACAUCAGUGUCCUAAUUCACAGAGAAACAAGAGCUAAAAUACACUCCUGAUAUACUUCUGAGACCAGCAAAGUAAGUCUAGAUACAAUUGUCGCUAUCCUGUCCCUAAUAGCUCUAAAUUUAUAUUUUUAGUGUAGAUUUUUGAUAAGCGCCUGCAAAAUAAUUAUUCUUUUUUAAGUCUUUAUCAUGAAAAAGUUAAUUAAAGAAGUUUUAUUUAUUUCAAA